ACUGUAGGGGAAUACAUUUUAAAAGUAACCUUCCCAACACUGCCCACACAUACCAAUCAUACAAACCACAUCAGAAAGUGUGAUGUGAAACUGUUCUUGGUCCACUGCCUGUUACCAGAAAUUUGCACAAUUCAAAACUUAAAAAGCAAAAACACAAACCAAAAAAGUCUGUAUGAUUCCAUUUUGACUCUUUUCAGUUUUACAGCAGACAAAAAUAUACUUCAGGACUUGUCAAUUUUUAUUUGUAUUGUCUUUUCCUUUUUUAUUUCAGGUUCUCCAGAUGUGAAUGUCGCACCAAAGCUGAAAGUUUCAACUGAGCUCCUCGAGAUGCUGAAUGAUUUAGAUGAUGGGGACUUUGACACCUUUAAGUGGCACCUCAAGUCUGAGCUGUGGAAAAACAUCAAGCCCAUCCAAGAGAACAAGCUUACGAAGGCAGAGCGGCAUGCAAUGGUGGAUCUCAUGGUGCAGAAGUAUGAGAUAAGUGGAGCUGUAGAAGUGAUGGAGAGCGUUUUAUUGAAGAUCAGCAGGAAUGACCUGGUGGAAAAGUUAAGACUCUUAACUGUGGAUACAUCAAUCUGACAUUUAGAUCAGAUAUUGAACAAAUCCUGAGUAGAAAAUCUGGGUUUAAUAUUGGCAACAAAAGAAAUUUACGCCCAGUUCAAUUAAAUUCCAUUCAAGCUUUUAUUGGACUCAUGGUAAAACUGUGUAGACCAGUAAAGAGAGGUGCACUCAAACUAGGAUGAUGAAAGAAGAGAGUUAAAAUAUGAUUAAAAUUUACUUAAAAUAUUUUUUUAUUAUUAUUAUUUUUGCUGCAGGCUGUGUGAAGCUGCAGUUAAGUCCACAUUCCAUAUUGUAACAUUAAUCUGACACGCUUCAGGUCUAUGGGAAAUAUUUGACAUAUAUGUAAGUAUCAUUGUGGAAAUUUUCCAUUUAAUAAAGCCUGCAGACAAGCAGUGAGCUGUAGCUAACAUUCUUUAAUCAAAACACAAAAACGGAAACCAAGCUUGGUGAGAGAAUGCAUCAUCGCGGGGCAGACGAUCAGCCUAGCAUGAUGUUAUUCCCCCCUUUUCAUAUAUAUAUUUUUUUAGGGUAAACAGUGUCUCAAGACAGACUGACACUUGAAUUAGUCUGCACAGCAGAUUUACUGAAAAUAGCUUAUUUGCAUGCUAACUACUACACCAAGUCCUCAAAUUGUAACGAGUUCUAAAGUUGUAAAGAGUGCAGCUUGAAGCGUGCUGGUGACCCCCUGCUGUAGGGGAGACCGGGGAUAGUUGUAACAUUUUUGACAUUUCUGUCUGUAAAUUGGAGCUCUUUUAAGGUAUUGGAUUCAAAAUGUAAUGCAAAGUAUUUACAUGUCUCUGCUAUUAAAUAGUGCAGCUAUUUUCUCUGCAGCACAAUUACCCAUUGCAUGGUGUAGUCUCAAACACAAAGAGUGAAAUGUUACAAUUAACCCCAUAGUCUGGGUUAGUUGUAACAUAUCCUGAGGUGAAAUGUAACACAAUGAAAUAAGGGUACUGACAAAACAUUAACAUGUAAUCUUUUUUAUUCAACACAUGAAUGCACUUAGAGCCAUUUAUGUAGCUGUGUGUGUGUGUGUGUGUGACAGAAUGCAGAAAUCUAGCUAUUGAACAUAUCCCCCCCCCCCCCCAAAAAAAAGACAAAUUAUGGAAUUUUCUGGAACUAAAUAUUUGAUUAAUUUUGGUUGGUCAUCCUUGAGUUUGGCCUCAUUGGCUCAGUGGGCAUUAUAACCUACAACUCUUGCAACAACUUUUGAACAUAACAAUGAAGCUAAAAAAUGUAGUUGUGCACCAGCAUCGCAAUUGCAUUACUUUUUAUCAUGGCUUACCUUGGUGUGGUUUGCAAAGUGCUUCAGAAAGAUGAGGAAAUCUGUUUCUUGCACCCAUCCUGAUUUAUUUCCACUACCAAUACUUCCUACUGGCCCAUCUCUGACACAGUGGUCUGCAUAAUGUAUGUGUGGGAACACAAACAGUGGAGGAAUUGUGUUGCCAAUGGCAUUAACCGCAUAUACAAAGGCGACCAGUGAACCUCUCUCUGCUGAUGUUGUGGUCCCAACUUGUUUAAAUCCCAUUCAGGCAUUUAUUGGACAGAUGGUAAGAUAAUGUGUUCUGGCUCUUAAUUUUGCUUAAUUUUUACUGUGUGCAGAGAGAGGUGCACUCAGUGACAUCUGUCUGUCAAAUUUGCUUUGUUUUGUUUGUGUGCGCAGUGCUGAGAAAAUAGUCACAGUACUGUGUCCCUGUAAUUAACACAGAUGAAUAAACCCCAUCAUGUGCCCGCAAAACUCUCUCAGUCAGUUCAAUUUAUUAAAGAAGCAAAAUGAGAGGCUAAUGUGUAUUUUUAUUUUAAAUGAGAGAUCUCAUUUAUGUAAUCACACACUGAAACAUAAACCUGCUCACCACUGCUGCUUUCCUGAAGAAACAGGAAUAUUGGACAAAUUAGCAGCUAUCUUUAAAAAAUAGAUAGGACCCGUUUUAGCCAGUAACCAGGUUUCUGUAAGAUCAAAUUAAUUAAUAUCUUGAUCAAUUAUUAAAUCAUGUACUAAGAGGCUUUGAAGAGUGAGACGUAAUUGCUGAAGAAUCCACAUUUAACGGUUUCUUUUGUCUUUGAUUCAGUUGAGGAUAAAAAUUCUUUCUUUGUAAUUUUGUUUGCUGAAAUUAUUUUUUACUGACCUCUGAUGUAGCCAGGUGUCAUUACUGGUGAAUUAUUAUUUUACUAAAUCUGUUUAUCUUUAGCCACCAGUUUCAGAAUUUAUUUAAUGUCAGCUGGUCUGGUCCCUGGAAGACAAUGGACAAUAGCUGAUGUAUUGUCUUGCUUUCCAUUUUCUCAGAAUAGAGUCGCCAAUAACCAGAGUUUGUUUCUUCCUCGCAGAUGUUUCACCAACUGGGAAAAAGCUCUUUGAAACGUGAACAGACUGGUAGUGUGUCAGCACAGAGGCUUCUAUUUAGGGCUACACUGCACCCAUAUCCUCAUCCUCAUCCAGCCAGCCUGAGUUCCUGGAUGCUCAGGAAUCUCUACUAGGGACUAGUUAAUGUUAACUAAGCUACCUUUGCUUACAGUGACUACAGGAUAUUGACUACAUACUGGAUUUUCGAGGGUGGGGAACUAGGUCUCGAAUUCACUUAGUCUUUCCUCCACAGCUACAAACAGCCUACAUUUAUUACAAGUAUAUUAAUUGUUAAAGGAGGCCUAAGUACACCCUCUGUUGUGAUAACAAUUUGGCGUAAAAUGCUUGUAAAUUCAGUAGAAAUCUAGUAAUAGAAGUCAUAAAGUCCAUGCUUGUGGUAGUAUUAAUAGCAGUAGUAGCAGGAUCGUGAGUAGUUGUAGGUAGUCCAAAGACAUGCAAUUAGUGGGGUUAGGUUAAUUGGUGCCG
rnacentral:lncRNA from 1 species